GAUGAACGCUAGCGGCAGGCCUAAUACAUGCAAGUCGAACGGUGUCUUCGGACAUAGUGGCGCACGGGUGCGUAACACGUAUGCAACCUACCUUACAUUGGGGGAUAGCCUUUCGAAAGGGAGAUUAAUACCGCAUAAGACAGUAACAUGGCAUCAUGUAGCUGUUAAAGAUUUAUCGAUGUAAGCUGGGCAUGCGUACAAUUAGUUAGUUGGUGAGGUAACGGCUCACCAAGACGAUGAUUGGUAGGGGAACUGAGAGGUCAAUCCCCCACACUGGCACUGAGAUACGGGCCAGACUCCUACGGGAGGCAGCAGUAGGGAAUAUUGGGCAAUGGGCGCAAGCCUGACCCAGCCAUGCCGCGUGCAGGAAGAAGGCGUUCUGCGUUGUAAACUGCUUUUAUAUAGGAAGAAACGACCCUUGCGAGGGGCAUUGACGGUAUUAUAUGAAUAAGCACCGGCUAACUCCGUGCCAGCAGCCGCAGUAAUAC
rnacentral:rRNA from 1 species